rnacentral:rRNA from 1 species
GAUUAACGCUAGCGGUGCGCCUAAUACAUGCAAGUCGAGCGGGAAUAAUUGGUGACACCCAGACAUUGUGAGAUGUUUGAGUGUUGCUGGUUAUUCUAGCGGCGAACGGGUGAGUAACACGUCGGUCAUCUACCCUGAAGUGGGGGAUACCCAGCCGAAAGGUUGGCUAAUACCCCAUAGUCACGAGGGGGCGUAUGCCAUUCUCGUGUAAAGCAGCAAUGCGCUUCAGGACGAGCCUGCGUUCCAUCAGGUAGUUGGCGGGAUAAAAGCCCACCAAGCCUACGACGGAUAGCUGGUGUGAGAGCACGACCAGCCACAAUGGGACUGAGACACGGCCCAUACAUCUACGGAUGGCAGCAGUAAGGAAUCUUCCGCAAUGGACGAAAGUCUGACGGAGCGACACCGCGUGAGGGAUGAAGGCUCUCGGGUUGUAAACCUCUUUUCUGGGGGACCAUUAUGAGUGUACCCCAGGAAUAAGCAUCGGCUAACUACGUGCCAGCAGCCGCGGUAAUACGUAGGAUGCAAGCGUUAUCCGGAAUCAUUGGGCGUAAAGCGUCCGCAGGUGGAACAGUAAGUUGAGCGAUAAAUACCAGUGCCUAACAUUGGUGCCUCGUUCAAAACUGCUGAUCUAGAGGAUGGGAGGGGCAGACGGAAUUCCCGGUGUAGGGGUAAAAUCCGUAGAUAUCGGGAAGAACACCAAAAGCGAAGGCAGUCUGCUGGAACAUUCCUGACACUCAUGGACGAAAGCGUGGGGAGCGAAAAGGAUUAGAUACCCUUGUAGUCCACGCCCUAAACGAUGAGUACUCGAUGUAGGGAGAGUCAAUCCUCCCUGUGUCUAAGCUAACGCGUUAAGUACUCCGCCUGAGUAGUACGAUCGCAAGAUUAAAACUCAAAGGAAUAGACGGGGACCCACACAAGCGGUGGAGCAUGUGGUUUAAUUCGACAGUAAACGAGGAACCUUACCAGGUCUUGACAUGGGGAGAAUACCGAAGAAACUCGGUAGUGCCCGCAAGGGAGCUCUCACACAGGUGCUGCAUGGUUGUCGUCAGCUCGAGCCUUGAGGUGUGCGGUUAAGUCCGUGAUCGAGCGCAACCCUUACCCUCUGUUAUAAUUUCUGAGGGGACUGCCGUGCCAUAAGCCGGAGGAAGGUGGGGAUGACGUCAAAUCAGCAUGGCCCUUACGGCCUGGGCUACACACGUGCUACAAUGACGAGUCACAAAGCGAAGCGAAGGAGCAAUCCGGAGCCAAUCGUCAAAACUCGCCUCAGUUCGGAUUGGGGGCUGCAACUCGCCCCCAUGAAGCUGGAAUCGCUAGUAACCGUGAAUCAGCUAUGUCACGGUGAAUAUGUUCCUGGGUCUUGUACUCACCGCCCGUCAAGUCAUGGAAGCCAGGGGCGCCCGAAAUCCUCUUGUUAGGGGCCUAAGGUGAAACUGGUGACUGGGACU